GGGCACGGCCCCCCAGAGGCGGCUGGCGGUGCCGCGCAGCAGGCGGCCGCCCUUGCCGGUGAAGGCGGUGAGCAUUAUGCAGUGAUUAUGAUUAUGCUGCAGUGAUAGAAGCUACACUAUUCUGUUCAGAUUCAGUCAACAUUUGGAGAGAGUAUUCAAGUUAUCUGCUACCGGCCACUGUGGGAAACAGGACGUGGAGCUGGGCCUGAGCAAAAGCAUUACCUUGAUCUCACCCUACCCAGGCAGUCUGACGCUACUGUUAGAGUUUGCCAUGGCAGUACUCCAGCCCCCUUGCUCUGGGAGCAGGAAAAUUCCUCCAAAACUUCCUUCCCUGGGUCGCUUGCAGUGUGGAGGGGUGACCAGUAAAGACUGAGGAAGCUCAGAAGACCAGGCCUCGGGAGGGACAGGAAACCUCAAUUGCUACAGAUCCUGAAGCACAAAAGAAGUGAAACUAUCUAUUUGUCUUCAUUUUCUCCCUGUUUUAAUGUCCUGAAGUUCAGCUGGCCUCACUUCCCCACUUCGGGUGCCUUAUCCAGAAAACAGUAGAUGUCACUGACUGCUGGUGUUGAUAACGUCAUUUAAAGAGCAAUCAUAAAUGUAAAACAUAUGGGGUGGCGAAGUCAGGUACCUAUAUGGAAAAGGAUCCAAAUGCACUGUUAGGAAACUAUUACAGUUCUCAGUAUUAAGGGCUUUGAAGUUGUGCUUUUACAACGGAAAGCAAAUGUGGAAAAGAAAAAGAGCUGAAGAACAAAAAUUACGUUUUGCCCCAUGCCCCAGGUAUACUGUAGCGGCUCUAAACCAGCGACUUGGAAAGGGCAGCAAACGUAUCCCACAUCAGCUUUGCAUUUCGCACAACAUCUGCCCCUCGGUGCUGUGCAGCUGCAGUGCCGCACACGCCAGGAGCCAGGACGGGCGGCUGCCCGCGCCCCGGCUCUUCGGGUCCUGCUUCACACUCGGCUACCCAAAUAGUUGGCAUGGGAGUUUCACAUCACUGCUCCUCCAUGUGCAUACAUAAGAUAGGUCAGUCUUUGAUUUUGAAAAAUUAAAGUGAAUCUUUAGAAUUCCAGGCUUUUAGGAAGAGAGAUUUUUUUUUCAUACUCCAAAAUAACAUUUACCCUCAUGCAAAGUUAUUGUCAGUAACAAAGAACUCUAUAACUGGGAGAUUAAGUGGCCUAAAGAAGAGACCCUUACUGAGAAAAGCCUGUAACCCUGUAUGAAUAUUUCAUCUUUUUAAAAAAUGAACUCAGAAACAGUGUACUGCCAAACGUAAUGGUAGUUGUCUAAUUUUUCAUAUCUGACUUAAAAAGUGAAUGUGAUACUUCACCAAUAGGCAACAGCAAUACCCACAAUUUGCUUGCCCAAGUCUUACGACCAUGUUAGAGUCAGUUCUUCAAUUAGCCAAAGCAUUCCAGUUGCAAAAUAUACAUGCUUGAGCUAAAAUAUUUUUAAAGCACAGUCAGAGGGAAAGGAGAGUCUUAUGGUUGAGGCACAAGCACAAAACAUUACAAGGUAUUACUUUUUUUCCUUGGCCGGGCACAGACUACUAGCAUGACCAUGAGUCAUUCUUUUUUAAUUAUUUGUGUUUAGUGCCCAAGUUGAGAGACCUCUGAGGGCUUCACGCCAAACAGCUACAAUCGCUUGCAACUUAAGCUACCAAGACUUGGGUGCUCUGAGUGCUCGGCACUUUGAGAAAUUACCUGCCAGUACGAUUUGCUUUCCAUCUGAGCCAGUCUGGGUUUGGUUCAGUUACCAGCUAUAUUAACUGGUGGAAGGCCACAUUUUACCUUACCUCUCCUCCUGCUACUGUAUGUUAUCUCUUGACACACCUGCCCCUGAUGGGACAGUAUAGACUAUGGUGGAAAGUGCUGAUGGUUUUCUAGAGUGGCUUUGUGAUAUCUCUGCAGUGCAGUGCAGCUGGAGCAAUGGCAUAGAACUGGCCCGUCCAGAUCCUACAGGAAACCAGAGGAAUCAGAUAUUGAAUUGUCAGAAAGAGUAAGGUGUUUUGAUGAUCUUCAUUAUUCUGACUUCUGUUUUCCACACUUCUAAAAGAAGUGACAGGAAGCAGAUAAAUCUGAUUUGUUUGGCAUUGAGAUUGUACUUAGCUUUUUAGAGCAGACAGAAAAAAAACAAACCCCUGGCCCAAAGAGUUCAUAACCUAAACCAAUUCCUGCACACUGAAUUCAUCCUGGCUUCUUGAUGCUGAAAUCCUUUCUGAUGUAGUGAUCUUGCUUACAAGGUGAAUAUAGACAGCUGUGAUGUAGCAAAUGCAUAAUGUCCACUCAUUUUCAAAUAUUUUACAUUCUUAUUCUGCCAGUUAAUGCAGCUUUGCUGCCUAUGUUUUAUGACAGAUAUUUACUGACGUAAAAGUUUCAAAGAAGAAAAGGAAAUAUUUUGUUAAACUUUUAACUUGUUAAAAGUUUCAAAGAUUUUUUUUCUCCUUCCUGCAUACCUUCCAUGUCCUCUGGAUUAAGAACAUAGUCUACAUGAUUACUCUGUUUUAUAUGUCAUUCCUUACUUGGCUGUUUGGCUAUGUAUUUUUUACGGGAUUACAUUUACUCUUUGCUUAGUUAUAAAUCUCAACCAUCAGAAGCCCUAAUAAAUAUAUCUAUAAUCUUA